AUACACCAAUAAUUAUGAUGUUCAAUUUGAAGCUGUGACUUGCAAAAUUCUAUAUGGAAUUGAUUGUUCAGAUGAGAAAGUAAAAGAUACUGCAGCAUCACUGUCUCUUAUGCACCUUCCUCUUGUGCUUACAAAGCCAUUCUAAAAGCAGAGGUUUCCUCUGGGUGGUAUAUCAACAGGCGUUUUGAAUCUUACAGGAAAGCCGGAAUGAAGGCAAGCCAAACACACUGCUGACUUGGUAUACUGAAGUUCAGGGAACAGAAUAAGGGCAAGAGGUUUUGAUGGACUUACACAUUAAUCAAAGAUACUUCUCAAACACAGAGGUAUUGUUACACAUUACAAAACUCAGAAAGAACUGCAAGAACUGUGGCAAUAGAAAUCAACACAAUAUUUAAAAUCCUCCAUAGAGGUUUAUGAAGAACUGACAGUAACUAAGGUCUGAAUUUCCAGUAUUUCAUGUGCUCUCCUCCUGUCAGUUACUACUUCAGGCAAAAAUUUAGUCUGAGAGUAUAUAUGGGGUACAAGCCACAUGGAACCAGAUCCAAACGUUCUGGGAAUGAAUGAAUGAAUGAAUACAGUGCAGGGCAGCUACGUUUUGCCUGCACUUGUAUGUUAGGGGAAUCGCCUCAUCUCUGGGCUCUGUUCCCCUUCCCUCACUUUGGAGAGAAUUAAACUGAUAGGUUAGAAAAAAAAGGGGAAAAACCACCCCAAAGUCCUGUUUAAUAAUCAACAAGUAUCUGGAAAUGAUAAAGUGAUCUUCAGUUAGUAACCAUGUAUCUUGGAAAUGCUAGUCUAUAAAUGGCAGCCUACCUGAGCCAGAGUUUAAUCUGCUGGGUUGUUUUCCGUAUUUGCAUUUCACUGAUGCCUGUUCUUGCCAAUGCUUUCUGGAUAGCCCUCUUUAUAAUCAUUAUGCACUCUCAAGUUAAACACCAAAUGCAGUUCUGGUUUCUCUAUCUUACAGGGGACAGCGCAGAACUGGAAAAGGCCCUGAGAAGGGCAGUAAGGAUGAGCGAUGACAUGAAAACCUUCCCUACAAUGAACAGCUGAAUAUAAUAGAAUUCUUCAGCCUGGAAAAGAAAUGACUGGAUGGCACAGAAAAAUCAGAAACUCCACACAAAUAAGCUAAGAGAGAUGUGACCAGCACAACAGCCACAGAUUCCAACUUCAGGGCACAGUGCCAGUCAAGCUGCUGCAUGAUAGAUGUGGGACUAAAAACCUGCCUACUGCAGUCAUCGUAAGUUCUCUGAUGUUUUACAGCAGCUGACCAUUGGUGAUUGAUUACUUUUGGGUAAGAGAAAGCAGCUGACAUCCAGAAACUGGUCAAGGUGUAACUGCUAUACAGAGAGCUAUGCCCCAAGAAGAAACAGUAAGUACAUAUCAACUGCUGCACAGUAAGGUGACCACAAGAAGGCAAGGGGGAAAGUUAGACUUCAUGUCUUUUUAUUUUCCACACCCUUCACGACAGUACAUUAUCCAACUUUCUUGCCCAGUUUUACCUGUGCUCCUAUCUCUGCAUGCUUGUUAUGAAAGGAGGCCAGGAAGAAUAGUUGUGAGCUAUUCCUGCCUCACAGUUGCACUUAGCAUGUGAUAAGAUCAGCCAAAUUACAGUGCUGAGCAUCUGCCAGGCCCUCUGCAUGCAGGAGCAGUUCACUUGUAUGUGUCUGACCUGGAGUCAGGUAGUGGCCAAGAAAUGCCGGCUGUUGUGGGACAGGAUUUCUUAAAUGAGAGGUUACGUAUAAAAUAAGUGUAUACCCAUCUUCAGAGAUGCAAACAGAUACUAGUGCCACCUGCUGCUCUACACUGUCUGCUGCAGCUCAACUAGCUAGAAUGUAAAUACUGACAAUGAAUUGCCAUCUGACAAAUGCACCAGAUUAAAGCACUGAAAUCUAACAGUGGGCUUCUCUUCUAUUUUGCUUGAACUUCCCCCAUGAUGUAGUAUUCACAGGAAGUGAAACGUAUACUGUACUACACUGGCACAAAUAUGUGUGCAUAUGCACACACGGAGAGAAGAAAGGGGCUGAUGGAUUGAAGGCUAUUAAAGUGAAUUGGAAAUAGCCAACACAGGAAAAGAUUCUGUAUUUUGCAUUGUGCAAUUCAUUCAAGUGAAAGUAAAAGGUAAGAGGCAGCUAUUUAACUUUUCUUUAAGGAAAGAACUUCAAAAGUUCAGGUAUUUUUAAAAGAUUUCCAGGCUUACACAAAAUGUGAUGUUUUUACAUUUGCAGGUACCUUUGAAAUUGCUAUUGAAUUUACAGCUAGUGUUCUCCUGCCUAUAAAUGCACUGAUCCAUACCCUGGCACUCUUCAAUACCUACAGUGAUCAAUUUAGGUAUUUUUAAUACAAGUUGAUAGUUCCUGUGAACUCAAGACUAACUGUUGGAAUGCUAUGCAACUUUAAUUCAUAAUAUGAAGAAUUUUGCAAUGAUAAUGUGCAUUCAAUUAAAAAAAACCUUCUUACUGCUUCUGUCAUUUGACAAUGAAAGGUAACAUGUCAGCCAGCUUGGAUGGAGUUUUGGGUGACAUGUUUUAGUGUGACCCAUCCCUGCCCAUGGCAGGUGGGUUGGAACUUGAUGAUCUUAAGGUCCUUUCCAACCCUAACUAUUCUAUGAUUCUACGAAUACUUGCAGUAUUUGCUAUUGGUCUUAAUCUGCAGAAGAAGUUUAAUAGAACACAUGCUAUUAAAGCUCAACCAAUAAUUAUUGCCAAGAGGAAAAAUUCACUUAGAAAAUAUGACUUAACACAUAGUAAGCAUUUAUGAAAAGGUAAAUAUAUUUCAGAGCAGAAAGAUUCACUGAAAGAUUGCUUUUCUGGCUUGGUCAAAGACUUCAUACAAAAGAGAAAGCAGCAAAGAAGCUGUUCUGAGCCUGUACCUAUAAUAUAUAUCAUAUCCUGACAUUUCCUUAUAGUUACUACUUGAAGCUCAAUUUUCAGGUGCGUAGAUCAUUAUUAUGUUUUUGAUAACUGUUAUAAUGAAGAUAGAUAAGUUCUAAGGAAACUCAUGCAGAAUUAAAGAUUCAAUUGAUCUUCCCAUACCCAUUCCUUCCUUGUAAUAAUGUAUGUUUCAAGACUUAGUGAAUCAAAAAAACCCUCAAAGGUAGCAGCAAAUUCAGAAAAUUAAAAUCUACUUCUGAAACAGAUGAUUCAAUUGUAGGAUCAGCUUAUUAUACUAAGGUAAAAUGUUAAUAUGCACACAAUGUAUAUAGUAGACUACUUUUUGAUUCUUAACAGUGUUAGAAAAGAAUAUUGAAGUUUUUCUUCUCCUAAGACCCAAAUCUUUAAAUUUUCCAACUGAAUUAUUUUAAAGUGAGAAUGAAAACCUAUUAGUGGUAUCUAAGUUGUAUCCAUAAACUAUGCUUACAGUGUGUUUCCUGGCCUGUACAAACUUGCUUUACAAGCCACAUUCUAGGUAAUUAUGUAUUAUGAGUAUCUGUGCAAAAAGCCCGUGGGCAACAAAACCUUGUUUUAGUAAUGCUGGUGUUUACCACUCUGUCAGUGUGAUUUUUCUUUUGAGGGACACAGUCUAAACAAAAAACAAGACAGGAAUAGUUAUAUCUGCAGCACUCAUAAAAUUUAACUUGGAUUUAAAAUUUUAACAGUAUUCUAAAAAUGAUUCUAAUACUCCAGCUGCUAAUAAUAUAAAGGCUCUCACAUACAUGUCGGUAGGUAGGGGGCAGUAUUAGGUCUCAGGAGCUCUUUCACAUUUCACUACCUUUUAUUGAUUCCAGUUUGCUCAGGCUUGAAUUCUUCUUCAUCUUUGUAAAGGAAAAAGUAUGUAUGAAGGAGUUUCACAUACUAGCCAUUUAAAUUCUUGACUAUGGUUGCUACUUAUUACAUACUCUUUUACUUCAAGUGGAGAAUGUUGUGAAGGUCUCAUGAUGGAGUAACGUCACGGUUACUCUAACAACUGGCUACUAGCAACAAGACAAGAAUGAAGUGGGGAGGUAUGUGACUGCUGCCAGUUGUAAAGGUCUGUAUCCUUUGUCUGUGGCACAAACCCCUGAUGACCUAUGAAACAAGAUGCCAAUCUCACCACAGACUGGCAAGUAAAAGAAAAUAAUAACAAAUCCCCACACGAACCCUAUGACAGUCACAUAUGUUAUUUGAUUUCUUAGGGAAGUACAUAAUCAGUUACUUCACUUCUUUCUUGCUUGCUUAUUUCUCUCCAGGUAAACUGUAAUACUACAAAGAUCAACAUUUCUUUUCCUCCCCCAACGUAUUAAGUAGUAAUCUGUCCAGAGAUUUUAACAAUGACUGGCUAGAAAGUUUCCUGUAAAAAGAGAAAUUGUUUUUUUGAUACAAAGUCUGAUUUUCUGGGAAUUGGAUCCACAGAGACAGAAUGGAGAAAUAGACAAAUGUAACUAAGCAUUUGCCCGGUUGUCUGCAUAAGAAACCUGGGAGAGUAAGGAAGUCUCAGUUUCAGGUAGUCUGCUACUCAGGUUUCAAUCAGCUCUAUUACGUUUCUCAUCCUUAUAAAAGAAAUACAAUUAAAAAAACCCAAACAAAAAGUAAUAAACAAGCUGCCAAGAAAAAAAUCCAAAGUUCAACAAUGUUGUUUAUGAAACAAAUAACAAAAAAUACUGUUACCCCAUUAAACAGUUUUUCUUACAUUAACCCCAUGUUUUAGCUAGUAUGGACUAAUCCUUGCAUAUGAGUGUUAUCAAAAGACUUGGGCAGUGUUUUUCACUCUCGUUUGUGAACACCUCUUUUCUGCUGAGUUCCUAAAAGGCUUUACAAGGAGUAAGCAAGAAAUGAAGUCUAUUGUUAAUAGAACUGAUUUGCUAUAUAAGGAUCCACAACUUCAUUGCAAACUUGUUUCAGGCCUGGAAAGUCCAAAAGAUUGUUACUGUAAGGUUUAAUCUCCUUUUAAAGUAGCUAUCAAGCAGCAUCUAGUAAGUUACUUCAAGAAUCUAAUUAAUUAUUAAGCUUCUCUUUAAAUUAAAGUUAGCAACCUUGUGGCUAACUAUUACCUUCACCUGACUACAGGAAUACUUUUACAGUUUCAGAGAUGGCAAUUUGGCUGUGCAAAGUAAUACAGAAGACUUUGGGUGACAGUUGCUUCUUAACACAUCGAGUACAACUUCAUGUGACUGGCUGUAUAUUUACUAUUAAUGCCUCUUUUAUUUCAGAAGUGGAGCCAAAUUAACUCUGCCUAGAUCUAUCAGUGCCUAAGGGAAAUUUCCUGUUUGCAAACUUCAGAUGGUCAAUGAAGACACAUCAUUAAUACCUGAAUUCCAAACUUAAAUCUUUGCUUCCAAUUAAGAUGCUGUAAUUUUAUGGUGCCUUUAUUAAGUUUAAAUUUGUGUACCACUCUAAUUACUUUGGUAAAGAAACGUAGGAUAGAUAUUUAAGAAUUUCUUGGGGUUUGUUAUUCCACAAGGAAACUGUUACCCUUGUAUUUUUCCACAGUGCUUGAGAAUCCUUUCCACUUCUCUUCACAUUAAACAUUCUUGGUG